AGAGUUUGAUCAUGGCUCAGAUUGAACGCUGGCGGCAGGCUUAACACAUGCAAGUCGAGCGGGGAAAGGUAGCUUGCUACCUUACCUAGCGGCGGACAGGUGAGUAAUGCUUAGGAAUCUGCCUAUUAGUGGGGGACAACAUUUCGAAAGGAAUGCUAAUACCGCAUACGCCCUACGGGGGAAAGCAGGGGACCUUCGGGCCUUGCGCUAAUAGAUGAGCCUAAGUCGGAUUAGCUAGUUGGUGGGGUAAAGGCCUACCAAGGCGACGAUCUGUAGCGGGUCUGAGAGGAUGAUCCGCCACACUGGGACUGAGACACGGCCCAGACUCCUACGGGAGGCAGCAGUGGGGAAUAUUGGACAAUGGGGGGAACCCUGAUCCAGCCAUGCCGCGUGUGUGAAGAAGGCCUUUUGGUUGUAAAGCACUUUAAGCGAGGAGGAGGCUCCCAGUAUUAAUACUACUGGAGAGUGGACGUUACUCGCAGAAUAAGCACCGGCUAACUCUGUGCCAGCAGCCGCGGUAAUACAGAGGGUGCAAGCGUUAAUCGGAUUUACUGGGCGUAAAGCGUGCGUAGGUGGCCAAUUAAGUCAAAUGUGAAAUCCCCGAGCUUAACUUGGGAAUUGCAUUCGAUACUGGUUGGCUAGAGUAUGGGAGAGGAUGGUAGAAUUCCAGUGUAGCGGUGAAAUGCGUAGAGAUCUGGAGGAAUACCGAUGGCGAAGCAGCCAUCUGGGCCUAAUACUGACACUGAGGUACGAAAGCAUGGGGAGCAAACAGGAUUAGAUACCCUGGUAGUCCAUGCCGUAA
rnacentral:rRNA from 1 species